rnacentral:lncRNA from 1 species
GGGCACUUCUCCAGUACCUCCCUGCCUAACAUGACGAGAGCUGGAAACUUAGUACACAUCCUCACUCACCGAGAGAAAGGCAUGGCACCCUCAUGCUUCUUAGAGACACCUUUCUCAAUCUGUGAUGCUGGGGUAGAUAGAGGAAAGUCCCAGCCCUGGAUGAGUAUGCUAAUCUCAAAGCUAUCCAUCAAGUUAGCUAUGAUCUGUAGGUGCUGGUGACCCUAGUCACCCAUUUACCCACAGGUCAGUGUGUGCAAGUUGCCACAUUAAAAUAACCUGUGGGUGACUGAUAGUGUGUGUACUGUUGCAGUGCGUAGCAUUAGAGUUGGGGUGACUUACUCAGCCAGUGCUUCACGGAACUUAUCUAAUCCACUAAUAAAAUGCAGUGGGUAUUCCAAGAGAGGUGUCAGUGGGGAAUGUUCAGGUGACUGUUGCCUGCUAGUAAAGCAAAUUAUAGUGGCUUAGAAUCUGCCAUUUAAAUCAUAAACCAGCUUCAAUAAAAAAAAUUUAAAAAAAAACAGCCCUUAGCUGGGCCUAUUUUUAAGCACCAGUAACUGCUAUAAAACUAGCCUUUCAGUUAGAAUAGAAUGUCCUUCCUUUUGAGUAAAACCUUCUAAGGAAAUAUA